rnacentral:tRNA from 1 species
GCCCCCAUAGUAUAAGCAA